GAUGAACGCUGGCGGCGUGCCUAAUACAUGCAAGUCGAGCGAACAGACGAGGAGCUUGCUCCUCUGACGUUAGCGGCGGACGGGUGAGUAACACGUGGAUAACCUACCUAUAAGACUGGGAUAACUUCGGGAAACCGGAGCUAAUACCGGAUAAUAUAUUGAACCGCAUGGUUCAAUAGUGAAAGACGGUUUUGCUGUCACUUAUAGAUGGAUCCGCGCCGCAUUAGCUAGUUGGUAAGGUAACGGCUUACCAAGGCAACGAUGCGUAGCCGACCUGAGAGGGUGAUCGGCCACACUGGAACUGAGACACGGUCCAGACUCCUACGGGGGGCAGCAGUAGGGAAUCUUCCGCAAUGGGCGAAAGCCUGACGGAGCAACGCCGCGUGAGUGAUGAAGGUCUUCGGAUCGUAAAACUCUGUUAUUAGGGAAGAACAAAUGUGUAAGUAACUAUGCACGUCUUGACGGUACCUAAUCAGAAAGCCACGGCUAACUACUUG
rnacentral:rRNA from 1 species